UACAGAGGUCUCAAGCGUUGUUCGGAUUCAUUGGGCGUAAAGGGUGCGUAGGCGGCGCGGUAAGUCGGGUGUGAAAUCUCGGAGCUUAACUCCGAAACUGCAUUCGAUACUGCCGUGCUUGAGGACUGGAGAGGAGACUGGAAUUUACGGUGUAGCGGUGAAAUGCGUAGAUAUCGUAAGGAAGACCAGUGGCGAAGGCGGGUCUCUGGACAAGUUUCCUGACGCUGAGGCACGAAGGUCAGGGGGGAGCAAACGGG
rnacentral:rRNA from 1 species